AGCUACACAACGAGAUGAGGAUGGUCAUUGUCAUUUUCUAAGCUGCGAACGGGCAGAAAGCUACACAACGAGAUGAGGAUGGUCAUUGUCAUUUUCUAAGCUGCGAACGGGCAGAAAGCUACACAACAAGAUGAGGAUGGUCAUUGUCAUUUUCUGAGCUGCGAACGGGCAUAAAG